rnacentral:rRNA from 1 species
GGUUAAGCGACUAAGCGUACACGGUGGAUGCCCUGGCAGUCAGAGGCGAUGAAGGACGUGCUAAUCUGCGAUAAGCGUCGGUAAGGUGAUAUGAACCGUUAUAACCGGCGAUUUCCGAAUGGGGAAACCCAGUGUGUUUCGACACACUAUCAUUAACUGAAUCCAUAGGUUAAUGAGGCGAACCGGGGGAACUGAAACAUCUAAGUACCCCGAGGAAAAGAAAUCAACCGAGAUUCCCCCAGUAGCGGCGAGCGAACGGGGAGCAGCCCAGAGCCUGAAUCAGUGUGUGUGUUAGUGGAAGCGUCUGGAAAGGCGCGCGAUACAGGGUGACAGCCCCGUACACAAAAAUGCACAUGCUGUGAGCUCGAUGAGUAGGGCGGGACACGUGGUAUCCUGUCUGAAUAUGGGGGGACCAUCCUCCAAGGCUAAAUACUCCUGACUGACCGAUAGUGAACCAGUACCGUGAGGGAAAGGCGAAAAGAACCCCGGCGAGGGGAGUGAAAAAGAACCUGAAACCGUGUACGUACAAGCAGUGGGAGCACGCUUAGGCGUGUGACUGCGUACCUUUUGUAUAAUGGGUCAGCGACUUAUAUUCUGUAGCAAGGUUAACCGAAUAGGGGAGCCGAAGGGAAACCGAGUCUUAACUGGGCGUUAAGUUGCAGGGUAUAGACCCGAAACCCGGUGAUCUAGCCAUGGGCAGGUUGAAGGUUGGGUAACACUAACUGGAGGACCGAACCGACUAAUGUUGAAAAAUUAGCGGAUGACUUGUGGCUGGGGGUGAAAGGCCAAUCAAACCGGGAGAUAGCUGGUUCUCCCCGAAAGCUAUUUAGGUAGCGCCUCGUGAAUUCAUCUCCGGGGGUAGAGCACUGUUUCGGCAAGGGGGUCAUCCCGACUUACCAACCCGAUGCAAACUGCGAAUACCGGAGAAUGUUAUCACGGGAGACACACGGCGGGUGCUAACGUCCGUCGUGAAGAGGGAAACAACCCAGACCGCCAGCUAAGGUCCCAAAGUCAUGGUUAAGUGGGAAACGAUGUGGGAAGGCCCAGACAGCCAGGAUGUUGGCUUAGAAGCAGCCAUCAUUUAAAGAAAGCGUAAUAGCUCACUGGUCGAGUCGGCCUGCGCGGAAGAUGUAACGGGGCUAAACCAUGCACCGAAGCUGCGGCAGCGACGCUUAUGCGUUGUUGGGUAGGGGAGCGUUCUGUAAGCCUGUGAAGGUGUGCUGUGAGGCAUGCUGGAGGUAUCAGAAGUGCGAAUGCUGACAUAAGUAACGAUAAAGCGGGUGAAAAGCCCGCUCGCCGGAAGACCAAGGGUUCCUGUCCAACGUUAAUCGGGGCAGGGUGAGUCGACCCCUAAGGCGAGGCCGAAAGGCGUAGUCGAUGGGAAACAGGUUAAUAUUCCUGUACUUGGUGUUACUGCGAAGGGGGGACGGAGAAGGCUAUGUUGGCCGGGCGACGGUUGUCCCGGUUUAAGCGUGUAGGCUGGUUUUCCAGGCAAAUCCGGAAAAUCAAGGCUGAGGCGUGAUGACGAGGCACUACGGUGCUGAAGCAACAAAUGCCCUGCUUCCAGGAAAAGCCUCUAAGCAUCAGGUAACAUCAAAUCGUACCCCAAACCGACACAGGUGGUCAGGUAGAGAAUACCAAGGCGCUUGAGAGAACUCGGGUGAAGGAACUAGGCAAAAUGGUGCCGUAACUUCGGGAGAAGGCACGCUGAUAUGUAGGUGAAGUCCCUUGCGGAUGGAGCUGAAAUCAGUCGAAGAUACCAGCUGGCUGCAACUGUUUAUUAAAAACACAGCACUGUGCAAACACGAAAGUGGACGUAUACGGUGUGACGCCUGCCCGGUGCCGGAAGGUUAAUUGAUGGGGUCAGCGCAAGCGAAGCUCUUGAUCGAAGCCCCGGUAAACGGCGGCCGUAACUAUAACGGUCCUAAGGUAGCGAAAUUCCUUGUCGGGUAAGUUCCGACCUGCACGAAUGGCGUAAUGAUGGCCAGGCUGUCUCCACCCGAGACUCAGUGAAAUUGAACUCGCUGUGAAGAUGCAGUGUACCCGCGGCAAGACGGAAAGACCCCGUGAACCUUUACUAUAGCUUGACACUGAACAUUGAGCCUUGAUGUGUAGGAUAGGUGGGAGGCUUUGAAGUGUGGACGCCAGUCUGCAUGGAGCCGACCUUGAAAUACCACCCUUUAAUGUUUGAUGUUCUAACGUUGACCCGUAAUCCGGGUUGCGGACAGUGUCUGGUGGGUAGUUUGACUGGGGCGGUCUCCUCCUAAAGAGUAACGGAGGAGCACGAAGGUUGGCUAAUCCUGGUCGGACAUCAGGAGGUUAGUGCAAUGGCAUAAGCCAGCUUGACUGCGAGCGUGACGGCGCGAGCAGGUGCGAAAGCAGGUCAUAGUGAUCCGGUGGUUCUGAAUGGAAGGGCCAUCGCUCAACGGAUAAAAGGUACUCCGGGGAUAACAGGCUGAUACCGCCCAAGAGUUCAUAUCGACGGCGGUGUUUGGCACCUCGAUGUCGGCUCAUCACAUCCUGGGGCUGAAGUAGGUCCCAAGGGUAUGGCUGUUCGCCAUUUAAAGUGGUACGCGAGCUGGGUUUAGAACGUCGUGAGACAGUUCGGUCCCUAUCUGCCGUGGGCGCUGGAGAACUGAGGGGGGCUGCUCCUAGUACGAGAGGACCGGAGUGGACGCAUCACUGGUGUUCGGGUUGUCAUGCCAAUGGCACUGCCCGGUAGCUAAAUGCGGAAGAGAUAAGUGCUGAAAGCAUCUAAGCACGAAACUUGCCCCGAGAUGAGUUCUCCCUGACCCUUUAAGGGUCCUGAAGGAACGUUGAAGACGACGACGUUGAUAGGCCGGGUGUGUAAGCGCAGCGAUGCGUUGAGCUAACCGGUACUAAUGAACCGUGAGGCUUAACCUU